UACAGAGGUCUCAAGCGUUGUUCGGAUUCAUUGGGCGUAAAGGGUGCGUAGGUGGCGCUGUAAGUCGGGUGUGAAAUUUCGGAGCUUAACUCCGAAACUGCAUUCGAUACUGCGGUGCUUGAGGAUUGGAGAGGAGACUGGAAUUCAUGGUGUAGCAGUGAAAUGCGUAGAGAUCAUGAGGAAGACCAGUGGCGAAGGCGGGUCUCUGGACAGUUCCUGACACUGAGGCACGAAGGCCAGGGGAGCAAACGGG
rnacentral:rRNA from 1 species